GGUUAAGGAACUCGGCAAAAUGCCCCCGUAACUUCGGGAGAAGGGGGACCUCUGCUGGUGACGAGGCUUGCCCUCUGAGCUGGUGGGGGUCGCAGAGACCAGUGAGAAGCGACUGUUUACUAAAAACACAGGUCCGUGCGAAGUCGUAAGACGAUGUAUACGGACUGACGCCUGCCCGGUGCUGGAAGGUUAAGAGGACCGGUUAGCCAGUAAUGGCGAAGCUGAGAAUUUAAGCCCCAGUAAACGGCGGUGGUAACUAUAACCAUCCUAAGGUAGCGAAAUUCCUUGUCGGGUAAGUUCCGACCUGCACGAAUGGCGUAACGACUUCUCAGCUGUCUCAACCAUAGACUCGGCGAAAUUGCAUUACGAGUAAAGAUGCUCGUUACGCGCGGCAGGACGAAAAGACCCCGGGACCUUCACUAUAGCUUGGUAUUGGUGUUCGGUUCGGUUUGUGUAGGAUAGGUGGGAGACUGUGAAGCGGGCACGCCAGUGUUCGUGGAGUCGUUGUUGAAAUACCACUCUGAUCGUAUUGGACAUCUAACCUCGGACCAUGAUCUGGUUCAGGGACAGUGCCUGGUGGGUAGUUUAACUGGGGCGGUUGCCUCCCAAAAUGUAACGGAGGCGCCCAAAGGUUCCCUCAGCCUGGUUGGCAAUCAGGUGUUGAGUGCAAGUGCACAAGGGAGCUUGACUGUGAGACUGACAGGUCGAGCAGGGACGAAAGUCGGGACUAGUGAUCCGGCACCGGCAUGUGGAAGCGGUGUCGCUCAACGGAUAAAAGGUACCCCGGGGAUAACAGGCUGAUCUUCCCCAAGAGUCCAUAUCGACGGGAUGGUUUGGCACCUCGAUGUCGGCUCGUCGCAUCCUGGGGCUGGAGUAGGUCCCAAGGGUUGGGCUGUUCGCCCAUUAAAGCGGCACGCGAGCUGGGUUUAGAACGUCGUGAGACAGUUCGGUCUCUAUCCGCCGCGCGCGUUAGAAACUUGAGGAAGGCUGUCCCUAGUACGAGAGGACCGGGACGGACGAACCUCUGGUGUGCCAGUUGUCCUGCCAAGGGCACUGCUGGUUAGCUACGUUCGGAAGGGAUAACCGCUGAAAGCAUCUAAGCGGGAAGCCUGUUCCAAGAUGAGGUUUCUCACCCCCUUGAGGGGGUAAGGCCCCCGGCAGACUACCGGGUUGAUAGGCCAGAACUGGAAGUGCAGUAAUGCAUGUAGGUGACUGGUACUAAUAGGCCGAGGACUUACCACA
rfam:Rhodococcus sp. RD6.2 genome assembly, contig: RHCRD62_Contig_7